rnacentral:rRNA from 1 species
UACGGGGGGGGGCAAGCGUUGUUCGGAAUUACUGGGCGUAAAGGGCUCGUAGGCGGCCAACUAAGUCGGAUGUGAAAUCCCCAGGCUUAACCUGGGAACUGCGUCUGAUACUGGAUGGCUUGAAUUCGGGAGAGGGAUGCAGAAUUCCAGGUGUAGCGGUGAAAUGCGUAGAUAUCUGGAGGAAUACCGGUGGCGAAGGCGGCAUCCUGGACCGACGAUUGACGCUGAGGAGCGAAAGCUAGGGGAGCAAACGGGG